rnacentral:rRNA from 1 species
ACGUAGGUGGCGAGCGUUGUCCGGAUUUAUUGGGCGUAAAGGGAGUGUAGGCGGUCUUUUAAGUCUGAUGUGAAAGCCCACGGCUCAACCGUGGAGGGUCAUUGGAAACUGGGAGACUUGAGUGCAGAAGAGGAGAGCGGAAUUCCAUGUGUAGCGGUGAAAUGCGUAGAUAUAUGGAGGAACACCAGUGGCGAAGGCGGCUCUCUGGUCUGUAACUGACGCUGAGGCUCGAAAGCGUGGGGAGCAAACAG